UGUUGCAUGAGUACUGGAACUAAACAUACUGUAAAGCAUAAGUGUGUGAGUCAUGAGCUGCAUGACCUGAAUUUUGGAGCUCAUAACUUUAUGGAAUAUGAUUCCAACUUUUGAAUGAACUGGAACUCCUCAUACUAAGAACUGGGAGAGUACAUGAUCCUCUAUUACAUACAUGAACAUGAACUAUGAUCAUACAACUAACACGUAAGGCAUGAGUAGAUAUUGAGAUAACUAAAAUACCAAUACUGAAAUAAGAAUAGGUUGAGCCUCACCCCC
rnacentral:lncRNA from 1 species